rnacentral:rRNA from 1 species
AGCGAACGCUGGCGGCAGGCUUAACACAUGCAAGUCGAGCGGGCCCUUCGGGGUCAGCGGCAGACGGGUGAGUAACGCGUGGGAACGUGCCCUUCGGUUCGGAAUAACUCAGGGAAACUUGAGCUAAUACCGGAUACGCCCUUAUGGGGAAUGGUUUACUGCCGAAGGAUCGGCCCGCGUCUGAUUAGCUAGUUGGUGAGGUUAUGGCUCACCAAGGCGACGAUCAGUAGCUGGUCUGAGAGGAUGAUCAGCCACACUGGGACUGAGACACGGCCCAGACUCCUACGAGAGGCAGCAGUGGGGAAUAUUGGACAAUGGGGGCAACCCUGAUCCAGCCAUGCCGCGUGAGUGAUGACGGCCUUAGGGUUGUAAAGCUCUUUUCUCCGGGACGAUAAUGACGGUACCGGAGGAAUAAGCCCCGGCUAACUUCGUG